rnacentral:rRNA from 1 species
GACGAACGCUGGCGGCGUGCUUAACACAUGCAAGUCGAACGGUGAAGCGCCUUCCUUUUUGGUGGGUGUGGAUGAGUGGCGAACGGGUGAGUAACACGUGAGUAACCUGCCCCCUUCUUCUGGAUAACCGCAUGAAAGUGUGGCUAAUACGGGAUAUUCUGGGUCUGUCGCAUGAUGGGUCUGGGAAAGAUAUUGUUUCGGUGGGGGAUGGGCUCGCGGCCUAUCAGCUUGUUGGUGGGGUGAUGGCCUACCAAGGCGGUGACGGGUAGCCGGCCUGAGAGGGUGGGCGGUCACACUGGGACUGAGACACGGCGCAGACUCCUACGGGAGGCAGCAGUGGGGAAUAUUGCACAAUGGGCGCAAGCCUGAUGCAGCGACGCCGCGUGAGGGAUGGAGGCCUUCGGGUUGUGAACCUCUUUCGCCAGUGAAGCAGGCCUGCCUCGUUUGUGGGUGGGUUGACGGUAGCUGGAUAAGAAGCGCCGGCUAACUACGUG